GGUCAAGCAAAAAAGAGCGCAGGGUGGAUGCCUUGGCACUAAGAGCCGAUGAAAGACGUGAUAAGCUGCGAAAAGCUGCGGGGAAGUGCAAAUAACUAAAGAUCCGCAGAUGUCUGAAUGGGGGAACCCAUCUAGGAGAACCUAGAUAUCCAUAUGUGAAUAAAAUAGUGUAUGGAAGGGAACCCGGUGAACUGAAACAUCUAAGUAGCCGGAGGAAGAGAAAGAAAAAUCGAUUUUGUAAGUAGCGGCGAGCGAAAGCGAAAGAGGCCAAACCUAGGUGCGUGCACUUAGGGGUUCGGACCGUAGAAUUGAUUCAAACGAGUGAGCAGAAUUGUUUUGGGAAAGCAAGCCAAAGAGGGUGAAAGCCCCGUAAGCGAAGCGAGUGAGACAAGACGGAAUCCAGAGUACAUCGAGACACGAGAAACCUUGAUGGAAAGAGCGGGGACCACCCCGUAAGCCUA
rfam:Lachnobacterium bovis DSM 14045 genome assembly, contig: IE72DRAFT_NODE_1_len_431_cov_60_111370.56